rnacentral:rRNA from 1 species
UCCAGGCGGGAAACUUAACGCGUUAGCUACGGNCACUGAACCGGGAUNGAUACGUGCCAACACCGUAGUGCUCCAUCGUUUACAGCGAGGACUACAGGGGUAUCUAAUCCCUUUCGCUCCCCUAGCUUUCGUCCCUCAGUGUCAGUUGCGGCCUAGAAGAGCGCUUUCGCCACUGGUGUUCUUCCNAAUAUCUACGCAUUUCACCGCUACACUGGGAAUUCCCUCUGCCCCUACCGCACUCAAGCUCUAUAGUUUCCANUGCCGAUCCACAGUUAAGCUGUGGGCUUUGACAGCAGACUUAUAAAGCCACCUACGGACGCUUUACGCCCAAUAAAUCCGGAUAACGCUUGCAUCCUCCGUAUUACCGCGGCUGCUGGCACGGAGUUAGCCGAUGCUGAUUCCUCAGGUACCGUCAGAUCUUCUUCCCUGAGAAAAGAGGUUUACAACCCACAGGCAUUCCUCCCUCACGCGGCGUUGCUCCGUCAGGCUUUCGCCCAUUGCGGAAAAUUCCCCACUGCUGCCUCCCGUA